UGACACUAUCGGUGGUGAGCCUUGCUACAUCUAUCUCUAGUGAUUGCAUCUUCUAAGAUCUCUAUCUCUACAAAACCCAAUCCCCACCACUACGGCCUUAUUCCUUUCCUUGUUUCUCUCCCCUUUUUUUUGCUCAAUUUCAUAUAUUUCACAUCCACAAGGUACGUUUUCCAAACAACAAUUUAUUUCUGUCUUUUUUUUUUUUUGGUUUUGACGAAUGAAUGUGUUUGUAGUUAUGUUGGAAUUUGAUUUAACAAGAACCCUUGCUAUGCUCAUAGCUUUACCUGAAUCUGUAAUGUUAUUUGUAUGGUGCAAUUAACUGGAGAAAUUUUUUUACAUUAAAUCUUUUGAUAUGUUAGGGAAUGAUUGUCCCUAAUACAAGUUAUAUGUGCACUAUAGUCAUAAAGAUCAUGCUACUAUUCGUUUUCUCUCAUCUUUCUUAGAAGUGGCUCUAUUUUCUGAUUGAAUAUAAUAUGAUUUCAGAUCUAUAAAACGAUAUAAGAAUCUCGAAUAUCAGAAACCAGUACUAGAGUUUUUGCUUGUGGACAUGUCUUUUAUUCAUAUCUGUAUGGGUUGUAUGGACCUUCGUCUGCUCUAAAUUGUGGGAGUGGACAAUAAGGUGAUAGUGAUGGUUCCUCUUAAUUGUGGUAUGUGAUUGAGGAAUUUUCUCAGUUUUUUAAUAAUAUUUUUUAUCUUUUUUCCCUCUCUCUCUCUCUCUCUCUCUCUCUCUCUCUCUUAUUAUUGAUUUGUUGAUUUUUAAUUCAUGACAGCAUUUUGAGGCACCAGAAAUUGAUAUGCUGGCUAGUUGUUUGUGAAUUCCUCUCGUUACAAAAAUUAGACUACAUCAGUACCUAUUUGAAAUAAGGAAAAUGCAAUCCUCAAUGCAUCUUCUAUUGGGCAGGGUUUGUUCUGCUUUGUUUUCUAAGGGCCUCCUCUCCUUUCUUUCAGUCAGUCAAAGAGGGAGACAGGAAAACCAAUUCCCUGAUGAGCUUCAAGUUCUUGUUCAAAGGGAUGCUGAUUUAGUUUAUUACUUUCGGAUAUAAUUUCCAUUUUAUUUUCAAAUUAUUUUUCUUUUGGAUUGGUAAGGUAUGCCUUGCCUUGUUCAGGAGCCUCUUCCCCUUCUUUUUAAGGGUUCUUAGGGGCAGCCUUCUUGUGUAAUAUUUUCUUUUUUCUUUUCCCAUACAUUGCUUAUACUUAAAAUAAAUAAAUAAAUAAAGCAUUCAUUCUAAUCGAAAUGUAGUGAUAGACAAUGCAAGAAGAGGGGGAUGAUGAAAGUGGAACAGAAACCUGAGGAAGAGAACAAGCCUACUGUCCCAUUCAUUGACUUCAUGUCAGUUUGAACCUCAUCAUCAUAGAAUUGGUAUCUCAAACAAUAAUCUAACACAAUCAUAGAAAUUAUACGAGCACAUUCCACCUAGAAUCUGACUUGUUAGAAUUCAAACAGAGAU